rnacentral:rRNA from 1 species
GACGAACGCUGGCGGCGUGCUUAACACAUGCAAGUCGAACGGAAAGGCCCUGCUUUUGUGGGGUGCUCGAGUGGCGAACGGGUGAGUAACACGUGAGUAACCUGCCCUUGACUUUGGGUUAACUUCAGGAAACUGGGGCUAAUACCGGAUAGGAGCUCCUGCUGCAUGGUGGGGGUUGGAAAGUUUCGGCGGUUGGGGAUGGACUCGCGGCUUAUCAGCUUGUUGGUGGGGUAGUGGCUUACCAAGGCUUUGACGGGUAGCCGGCCUGAGAGGGUGAACGGCCACAUUGGGACUGAGAGACGGCCCAGACUGCUACGGGAGGCAGCAGUGGGGAGUAUUGCACAAUGGGCGGAAGCCUGAUGCAGCAACGCCGCGUGCGGGAUGACGGCCUUCGGGUUGUAAACCGCUUUCGCCUGUGACGAAGCGUGAGUGACGGUAAUGGGUAAAGAAGCACCGGCUAACUACGUG